CACGUAGGGUGCGAGCGUGUCCGGAAUUAUUGGGCGUAAAGAGCUCGUAGGCGGUGUGUCGCGUCGGCCGUGAAAACCUGCAGCUUAACUGUGGGCUUGCGGUCGAUACGGGCAUCACUGGAGUUCGGCAGGGGAGACUGGAAUUCCUGGUGUAGCGGUGAAAUGCGCAGAUAUCAGGAGGAACACCGAUGCGAAGGCAGGUCUCUGGGCCACUACUGACGCUGAGAAGCGAAAGCAUGGGGAGCGAACAGG
rnacentral:rRNA from 1 species